UACGUAGGGUGCAAGCGUUAAUCGGAAUUACUGGGCGUAAAGCGUGCGCAGGCGGCUUUGCAAGACAGAUGUGAAAUCCCCGGGCUUAACCUGGGAACUGCAUUUGUGACUGUAAGGCUAGAGUACGGUAGAGGGAGAUGGAAUUCCGCGUGUAGCAGUGAAAUGCGUAGAUAUGCGGAGGAACACCAAUGGCGAAGGCAGUCCCCUGGACCUGUACUGACGCUCAUGCACGAAAGCGUGGGGAGCAAACAGG
rnacentral:rRNA from 1 species